UACAGAGGUGGCAAGCGUUGUUCGGAAUUACUGGGCGUAAAGGGCGCGUAGGCGGCCUUCUAAGUCAGACGUGAAAUCCCCCGGCUUAACCUGGGAACUGCGUCUGAUACUGGGAGGCUAGAGUAUGGGAGAGGGAUGUAGAAUUUCAGGUGUAGCGGUGAAAUGCGUAGAUAUCUGGAGGAACACCGGUGGCGAAGGCGGCAUCCUGGACCAACACUGACACUGAGGAGCGAAAGCCAGGGGAGCAAACGGG
rnacentral:rRNA from 1 species